GCCAAUCGUACCUCAUGGACUUCCCAGUUGUCCAGUCCUCGCUCCUCCCUUUCCCUAGGUUGUUUAAAUAUAUUCCCUGGCACUACUAUGUGCAGAGUGUACAAUGUGCUGUCGAAGAGCCAGCAGCCUGCGUAGAGCGAUACCGCCAGAGAAGAAAGAAAAGAGGAGGGAACGCCCUGCUGCCUGAGAUCGGCAGUUCUGAUUCAGUCGGGAUCGGCUUGCCCCCACAGUUAGGAUGGGCUGUACAGCAGGACAAUUUGCUUGCCAACCACAGCCCCAGAUAAACUCCUGUCAGGAGAGUCUGUCCCUGGAGGCUGGUGGUGCUAAAGUCCCAGAAGUUCUCUCCUCCCUGGAGCGUCUGUCUCAAGCUACAGGAGGUAUGGAGAAGUCGUGGUACCGAUGCAUCUUUCCCUUUGGCAUCAUCUCUUUGGUCAUAGGGAUUGCAGGAACAGGGGUGACCUACACUUACAAUGACCUGCCACAGACUAAAGUUGUAUCGGUGGUGCUUCUUGUCAUGGGUCUUGUGCUGCUGCUGAUGGCGACUGCUUGCUGGACUCUUCACAAAAAGAAGAGAAGGAAAAAGAAGGAGGGAGAGUCUUUGACAUCCGAGCAGUGUCCCCUGUGAAGCAUAUGGAGGAAAGCAAUUAGAGGAACCUAAAACAGAGUCUGGCCAAGGGUUCGACUGUGCUCAAGGUCUGGGUGAAAAAGCCCUCACAUGACAGACAUUAAAUUCCCUCUAUUAUUUAUCACAGAGCUGAGAGACAGCUUGGGUUAAGAAGGACUGAAGGUAUAGUCUAGAGAAGGUUUUGGGAUCACAAUUUCUCAAACACCUUGGUCGUCAGAGAGUGUCUAGUGUCAAAACAACCACGGCGGAGACCCACAACAACAUGCAUUACACACGGCUUGCAUAUUUACAAGCACAGAGAGAUCCUAUGAGCUUUACAGUGUUGACACCCCAAAAUGCUAUGCGGGACUGCUGCUGGAGUCACUGCUGCCGUCACCAGAAACGUCAGUCGCAUUCCUCUCACCAGGACAGGUGACUCUCCAAGGGGCCCGAAGUGGGCCAAACACUGCAACCUGAUACCCAGCCAAAAGAAGCAGUGCACCCGUGUCACCCGCCAUCGUCAUUUGCUCAUCCUGUGACACUGCAGCAAUGUGCGAGGGGCUUUUUAUACGCAAUAGGAGAGUGGAACUUGAGUCCAGCAGGAUCUUUGCUGGCAUGUGUGCCGAUAAUAAGCCAGAGAGGGCAGUGGAACACGCUGGGCUCAGAUCAAUGCUUGGGUGAAAAUUUUCUGAGGAAAUUGGACUUAAAUCAUGAGGAAAUAAAGAUUUGCACAUAUGUCCAUGUCCGAGAAAGAAAAACUUUCAACGGCCUUUUGUAGCUUCAAGGGGGGAGCAUUGACUAUCUGACUGACCGAUUGCCUUUUUGUCAAUGUGUGGGUAUUUACGCCCUGCCUUAUGUCUGUGAGGGGUACUUAUUGAAGGACACUGCCUGGCGGGGGCUUACAUCCUACUGCAGGGCCACUUUGACUCAUCCAGCUUCUCCAUUGCCCCUCCUGCUUGGUGCCUUGAGCAAGUGCUCAUGGAAAAAAGCUCUGUCACAUUCCCGCAUUUCCAUCUGAACUCCUAAAGAAAUCUGCUAUUUCUCUUUUUACCCAACUAAUGUCUCUCCCAUCGUUGAAGGGAGACCCUUGUCAGAGUAGAGUACAAAGCUGCUUUCUAGUGAGCACUGACCAAUGUUUGGGUUCCGAUCAUAUCUGGGAUUUUCCUUUCCAACACAUUUUCUUUCAGAGGCAGACUGCUUGUGAAAUAGGGUCAUUCAUUGAAUGCGUGAGAUGCACAAGGCUAUUUUAUUUUUGUCUUAAACACUCUUUCUUGUUACCUAAUGUAAUGUGAGCUAAAUGUGACAUCAAAGAAGGAAUGCGUGCAACGUACACAGAGUGAAAAGAGCAUGUGUUUCUUGUCUCCACGUCAAUGACUCAACUAGCCCUGCAGGAUCUCUAAGAACCUUUAUUGAUCAAAGAUUCCUUUAUCCUGGCUUGGAGUUCAGUGAUUCUUGCCGAGGAAAACGUGUCUAGAUAUACAGGUUGAGCAGUUAGCUUACAAAGCCACAGACCAUCUCAAGCUUCAUCCUGGAAAAUUUCAAACCAGCUUUUGCCUGCCUAACUGCCUUCAAAGAUGGUCUGUUCUUGCAUUUAUGAGCUAGUUUGAGCGUUUACUGCUCAUUUUGUUUUGCAUACUGAUGUAAACCAGACUGCGGUUGUUUAAGCAGCAGCAACUAAAGGUAGUCUACAGCAUAAUCUUGAAAGUCAUUGCUUUUGAGAUUUAUGAGAGAACAGGGAGGUAUGCCUGCAGAUAGAUUAGGAUCUGACAUCCUGAAAAGAAAGCAAUUAUUUAACAGGCGAUAUGUUGCAACAUGGAGGUUACAGUCAUCAUUCUGCUGAACUGCAGUGGAGCAGCUCUUCUCUGAAUCUUCUCUCACUGCCACAUGUGAGAUUUAACUAUUUCCAAAAAUAUUCCUACAGUAACCCUGAAUUUCUUUUAUUGCAAAUGGCAGUUUAUUUUUAUAUUUGUGCUCAGAGCAGUGGUGUCAUUUAAACACAGAGACAAAGCAGAAGCAAUGAAAUGACAUUACAUUGGACGAUAACAUAACAAGCUCUCUACCUUUGCAGUCUGUGUGUGAACUACCUUCAGAUCUGUUCACAUAGGAGAGGCCCUUAGAAAAACAACUUACAAAAACAACAUCAGUGCAGUUUUCUCAUGUACAUUACACACUGACUAUAAUUUGUUUGCAUAGGUAUACUUAAAUUUAAAUUUUUAAGCGAUAUUGUGCCAGUAUAAGUUUAUGAGCGGUGACCAGAUAUUUUUUGUCUGAGACAUGAAGUGAUUUCCCUUCUGCCUUCUGAAUGUUUUAAAGGGAAAGUCUACCUCUCUCUGCUGCAGGGACUAAUGUCCCUCUCCUAGUAGACAGCUAAGCUGUCGGUCUGUUUGCUGUUCAUCACUUCACUAAAUAUUUUGCUUACUGUGCCCUCCAAUAUUUGGUGCUGUAUAUAGAUUUUUUUUUAUUUGUAUUACGUAUUUCUACCAAUGUGUUAAUUUUCACUCUUUCUGUUUGUAUUGCAUUAAAUAAAUGUUAAUGGUU